GUGCCUGCUAGCAAGGAUUUCUGCUGUCCUAGGCAAAGAUCCAUUUUGCCGCCCCUUCAUGUCACUCACUGACAGACACACACGCUGACACACAUACACUCACUUACUGACAAACACACAGAAACUCACUGACAGACACACAUGCACACACACAAACACUCACUGACAGACAUACACACUCACUCACUGACACACACACACACACUGACAGACAUACACUCACUCAAUGACAGACAGACAGACACACUCUGACAGGCAUAUUAUCACUCACUGACACACACACACAGGCACUUACUGACAGACAUACACUCACAC